UGGUACAUUUUUUUUUAGCUUAAACAUUCAUCAUGUUGUGAGACCUUCCAUUGAUUACCCAUUUACGGCGACUUCAGUCAAAUAAAAACAUGAUACUGUGUCGUUAUCUGCCUUAUACGUUGGACCUGGCACCAGGUGACUUCUGUCUCUUUCCUCAAUGUCAGAAUGACCAUGGAAAGGAAACUGUUGAAUCAGUUCAGGACAUCGAGUUACCAGGACAGGGCAACUAAAGACACUCAGGAAAGAGGUCUCCAGAGCUGCUGCAGAAAGUGGCCAGGAACAUGGGAUAAGUGUGUUGGAAGCAAAGGGGAGGGCUUGAGGGGAAAUCAUGGUUAUGUGUCUCUUACUGUAAUAACUUCUUAAAAAACUUAAAUAAUAUUUGCGUUUUUUGAUCACACUCUGCACCUGAAAUUCACUUGAUAGCAACUUGGAGGGAAGCUGAACAAUGAAUCCAUUCUUUCAACAAGUACCUGCAGGGCAGCUGGUGCCCAGCCCUGGGGUCAAGUCUUGGAGACGCAACUCUGCAGUGUGGGGUGCCGUGCUUACUCCCCAGCCCUUCCUGACGACAGACAUGGCCGUCACAGUGGAGCUGACACAGAGCCUCCUCCCAACCCGCCCGUCGCCCGCAGGGAGCCCGCAGGGGAGGCGCCCAGGGUGCUGCAGGUACAGAGGGCAGAGGCUCCCGGGGCUUGGCACACUGCCCGGUUCCCGCCGGGACGGCCCACGUCACAUCCCACAGCGCUGAGGCGAGCGCUGCUUUCCUCACUGGCCGGACAAGAGAGGGUUCUGUCUGAUUUUUGGAUUUGGGCCAGCGUGGUCGGUGAGAAACAGCUCCUCGGCCCAACUUGCGUUUCCUUCUCUCUAAGCAAGGCCGGGCGUCUUUCCGUGUCGGUUCAGAGCGCUGGCCUUUUGGAUCUCAGAAGCUCGCGGUUUAUAGUGGAAAUACUAGUACAUUUUAUACUCAAUAUAUAAAUAUUGUCUGAGAUG